AGAGUUAUACAUAGAAUAAAAUCAUGAGAAAAGUACCAUCUUAACCCCAAUCCUAACCCUAUUUAAGGACCCCAAACCACCAGCAAUUGGAUCUCAUCAAAGAGAGGAGGUGGCAUAAAGAAAGAGAGGGUGGGCGGCAAGGCUUGGGUUGAAGGCUGCUUCAAGGCAAGAGGUGUUGAGAAGAAGAUUUUUUUAUCUCCUAUGCCAUCUCCAUGCCAAUGCCAAUCUGAGGUCAAGAUCUACAAAGGA
rnacentral:lncRNA from 1 species